CGUAGGGUGCGAGCGUUAAUCGGAAUUACUGGGCGUAAAGCGUGCGCAGGCGGUUUUGUAAGACAGAUGUGAAAUCCCCGGGCUCAACCUGGGACCUGCAUUUGUGACUGCAAGGCUAGAGUACGGUAGAGGGGGAUGGAAUUCCGCGUGUAGCAGUGAAAUGCGUAGAUAUGCGGAGGAACACCGAUGGCGAAGGCAAUCCCCUGGACCUGUACUGACGCUCAUGCACGAAAGCGUGGGGAGCAAACAGGAUUAGAUACCCUGGUAGUCCACGCCCUAAACGAUGUCAACUGGUUGUUGGGCCUUUACUGACUCAGUAACGAAGCUAACGCGUGAAGUUGACCGCCUGGGGAGUACGGCCGCAAGGUUG
rnacentral:rRNA from 1 species